UGCAGUCGAACGGUAACAGGAAGCAGCUUGCUGCUUUGCUGACGAGUGGCGGACGGGUGAGUAAUGUCUGGGAAACUGCCUGAUGGAGGGGGAUAACUACUGGAAACGGUAGCUAAUACCGCAUAACGUCGCAAGACCAAAGAGGGGGACCUUCGGGCCUCUUGCCAUCGGAUGUGCCCAGAUGGGAUUAGCUUGUUGGUGGGGUAACGGCUCACCAAGGCGACGAUCCCUAGCUGGUCUGAGAGGAUGACCAGCCACACUGGAACUGAGACACGGUCCAGACUCCUACGGGAGGCAGCAGUGGGGAAUAUUGCACAAUGGGCGCAAGCCUGAUGCAGCCAUGCCGCGUGUAUGAAGAAGGCCUUCGGGUUGUAAAGUACUUUCAGCGGGGAGGAAGGGAGUAAAGUUAAUACCUUUGCUCAUUGACGUUACCCGCAGAAGAAGCACCGGCUAACUCCGUGCCAGCAGCCGCGGUAAUACGGAGGGUGCAAGCGUUAAUCGGAAUUACUGGGGCGUAAAGCGCACGCAGGCGGUUUGUUAAGUCAGAUGUGAAAUCCCCGGGCUCAACCUGGGAACUGCAUCUGAUACUGGCAAGCUUGAGUCUCGUAGAGGGGGGUAGAAUUCCAGGUGUAGCGGUGAAAUG
rnacentral:rRNA from 1 species